UAGGUUAAGCGCUGCAGGUAACGGUCACUAGGUUAAGAGGUGAGGUAACGGUCACUAGGUUAAGCGCUGCAGGUAACGGUCACUAGGUUAAGCACUGCAGGUAACGGUCACUAGGUUAAGCGCUGCAGGUAACGGUCACUAGGUUAAGAGGUGAGGUAAUGGCCACUAGGUUAAGCACUGCAGGUAACGAUCACUAGGUUAAGAGGUGAGGUAACAGUCACUAGGUUAAGAGGUGAGGUAACGGUCACUAGGUUAAGAGGUGAGGUAACGGUCACUAGGUUAAGCGCCACAGGUAACAGUGACUAGGUGAAUAUCUAAGGUAACGGUCACUAGGUUAAGAGGUGAGGUAAUGAUCACUAGGUUAAGCACUGUAACUAACGGUCACUAGGUUAAGCGCUGCAGGUAACGGUCACUAGGUUAAGCGCUGCAGGUAACGGCCACUAGGUUAAGCGCUGCAGGCAAC